rnacentral:lncRNA from 1 species
AAAAAGAAAAGAAAGAUUCUUGCUUGCAUGCUGUAAGGUUCCUGAAUAAACUGCUUUGAGAAGAAUGCUGUGUCAUCGCUCUUUUCUGCGGGUCGGAGACAGAGGGACAAGUGGUGGCCCUUACAGGGACCCUCCUCCUUCGUUCAGAACUCAACGCGGUCAGAGCGGCUAGCCAGUAAGUUCCCAGGAUCAUCGGCAGCCGCUGUGGGUCCGGGAGAGGCUGACCAGAGCGGUCCAAGAUGAACGGAAGGAGGAUACUAUGGAUGUUCCUAGUGUUGCCGAUAAUUCCUGCAGUGAUGGCUGAAGACCUAUGCUGGGGGCUUUUAUCUGUGUUUCCCAAGCCCCUGUCACUGAUGCAUUCAACGCAAGUGUUCCCCGAUUUUUUUCCUCUAAUGCUUUGCUAUAGCUACCCUUCCUACCCUGGGAUGGGGAUAUAGUGCCUAUAAAUGAUUUGAUGCAGCUUUAGUUAG